rnacentral:rRNA from 1 species
UAGGGAAUCUUCGGCAAUGGACGAAAGUCUGACCGAGCAACGCCGCGUGAGUGAAGAAGGUUUUCGGAUCGUAAAACUCUGUUGGUAGAGAAGAACGUUGGUGAGAGUGGAAAGCUCAUCAAGUGACGGUAACUACCCAGAAAGGGACGGCUAACUACGUGCCAGCAGCCGCGGUAAUACGUAGGUCCCGAGCGUUGUCCGGAUUUAUUGGGCGUAAAGCGAGCGCAGGUGGUUUAUUAAGUCUGGUGUAAAAGGCAGUGGCUCAACCAUUGUAUGCAUUGGAAACUGGUAGACUUGAGUGCAGGAGAGGAGAGUGGAAUUCCAUGUGUAGCGGUGAAAUGCGUAGAUAUAUGGAGGAACACCGGUGGCGAAAGCGGCUCUCUGGCCUGUAACUGACACUGAGGCUCGAAAGCGUGGGGAGCAAACAGGAUUAGAUACCCUGGUAGUCCACGCCGUAAACGAUGAGUGCUAGAUGUAGGGAGCUAUAAGUUCUCUGUAUCGCAGCUAACGCAAUAAGCACUCCGCCUGGG